rnacentral:rRNA from 1 species
UACAGAGGUCCCAAGCGUUGUUCGGAUUCACUGGGCGUAAAGGGUGCGUAGGUGGUGAGGUAAGUCUUAUGUGAAAGCUCGGAGCUCAACUCCGAAAUGGCAUAGGAAACUACCUUGCUCGAGGGUUGGAGGGGGGACUGGAAUACUUGGUGUAGCAGUGAAAUGCGUAGAUAUCAAGUGGAACACCAGUGGCGAAGGCGAGUCCCUGGACAACUCCUGACACUGAGGCACGAAAGCUAGGGGAGCAAACGGG